AUCAAAUAGCAGGGCAGAAAAGAUUAAUUGACCUGUUUGACUCAUCUAUCAGUAAAAGGGUCAUUUCUAAACUUAAAUUAACAAAAGAUCCCAUUGUACCUAAAGUUGAUAUAAGUGAAUCUGAACUGGACGUUUUGGUCGAUCAUGCAUUUUUAAAAGUAUUUAAAGGACUGCAAAAAAUACGAAUCGACAACACUAUUAAAUAUAUAGAUAGUUGUGCUUGUAGUGGUGAUACUGACCACAGUGAAGAUCCGGCGAGUAAGGAUCCCACUUUGUCUUCAAAACUCUCAAAUAUGGAGGAAUUUCGUCGAUUAAAGAUGAAGUAUAUAAGGUUUUUAAAUAAUGAUGAUUCUUCCCAGGACUUCGUUGUACAUGAUUU